rnacentral:misc_RNA from 1 species
AAGUCGUAACAAGGUUUCCGUAGGUGAACCUGCGGAAGGAUCAUUAUUGAAUUGUAAAGGGGGGUUGUUGCUGGCCUCUCAUCUGAUAGGCAUGUGCACGCCCCUUUUCACAUCCACCCACACCCUGUGCACCCUUUGUAGUUCCAAAAUGGGAGGGCCUCUAAGGCUUUCACAAUCUGGCACUACGUCUCUUUACAAACACCUUCUGUAUAGAAUGCCAACUCAGCGUAUUUAAACGCAGAAAUGUGAAACAACUUUCAGCAACGGAUCUCUUGGCUCUC